AUUGCAGGGAUCUGCCAAUUAUUGUUUAAUCUCAAACAACAUUUUGUAAAAAAUGAAAAUAUGUUUUAAAGAAAAAUGCAGUAUUAAGUAUUAAGUCAAUUUUCAGCUUUAUGUUUCAUUGUCCCUCCCAUAUUAAAAUGUAUCAAGUUAAAUUUGUUAAUUAAAUUAAGUAUAUGCCUUGGUAUAUGCUUUUAAUGCCUUUGCAAUGUGAGCAUCAUAACAUAGUAUUUCAAUAUAUUAUGUUAAUAUUGUUCAAGUAUUAGGGGUCCCUGCUCCAUCCCUCUUUAUCUAUCAAGGAGUCAUCGGUCUCAUUAAAGUAAAAAAAAGGUUAGAGACUUCUUGACAACACAGCAUAGUGAGCACAGUGAACACGCCUGACGUUACAGAGAUUUGGCCACGCCCACUGUGUAAGUAUUCUGUGACAUGUGCGUUCCAAAAUCAGCUAAUGGUUCUAACACGCCCCGCCCCUCAGGAAGUGAAACAGAAGGCGGGAGUGCCGCUGCAUGGUUGUUAUGAAAACAAGAUUGCUUCUCUAAUAAUAGUACUGUAAAUGCCGUUUUAAUACUAUAUGAUUUUAAACACAUUCAUGUUCAAUUUGUCAUGCAGAGCGGUUUGUUUUUGCUUUUAAAUUUACGUUUUAUGCUAGUCUGAACAGUUAUAGCAUUUAUCACAGUAGUUUUCCACCAGUCGUACUGUAUAUGAGUUAGUUAUAUUCGUUGAACUUUACAUUAAAGCGCUAUAAGCAGGUUAAGAUCUGCAGUGCAGAAGGGGAAACGAAUGGCUCUGGAGAAUACAGAGGUGAUCACAUCCAGCAAUAAGAAGAAACGAAAGCCUACCGUUAAAGAAGAGGAACUGUCUGAAACUCAACCCUCAACAUAUCACCUUUUCCAUGACCCAUCUGAAAUCUCUCUUUUCCGCACUCACCUCCUGCACUGGUAUGAUCAAAAUAAGAGAGAGCUUCCCUGGAGGACAGUGGCUAUGACAGAACCAGAUGUUAAUAUCAGGACAUAUGCAGUGUGGGUCUCAGAAAUCAUGUUACAACAGACUCAAGUUGCCACUGUGAUAGACUACUAUAACAAGUGGAUGAAGAGGUGGCCGACUGUGGAAAAACUUGCUGUUGGUACACUAGAGGAAGUGAACCAAAUGUGGGCAGGUCUUGGAUACUACUCUCGGGGACGCAGGCUACACGAAGGAGCCAAGAAAGUGGUAUCAGAGCUGGAUGGACAGAUGCCAAGGACCACGGAGGGACUUUUGAAACAGCUGCCUGGGGUAGGACGUUACACUGCAGGGGCAAUCGGAUCUAUAGCACUUGGGCAGGUUACAGGUGCAGUUGAUGGAAAUGUGAUUCGUGUUCUGUGCCGUGUUCGGGCGAUUGGAGCAGAUAGCACCAGUCCCACCGUAACAGAUGCUUUGUGGAAAAUUGCAGAUAGAAUUGUGGAGCCAGAGAGACCUGGAGAUUUUAAUCAGUCUAUGAUGGAGUUAGGAGCCAGAGUUUGCACCCCAAAAUCCCCUCUCUGUAGCCAGUGUCCCAUUCAGACACAUUGUCAUGCAUUUAGGAAGGUAAGCAUUAAACAUGAGAAGGACUCCAAAACACUUCUAAGCAAGCUGGCUGCUGCAAAUCUCAAUACCUUGGUUCCUGACAUAGAGAAUUGCUCGGCCGCUGGCAGUUGUAACUUGUGUCUGUCUGAGGACUGGGACCCCCAGUUGGGGGUGCAGAAUUAUCCAAGAAAGCCUGUCAAAAAAGCUCCACGUGUGGAGAAAACACUAACCUGUAUAGUGGAGCGGCAGCUUGCUGGAGAGGAGAUAGAGUAUCUGCUCACUCAAAGGCCAAACAAAGGACUCUUGGCAGGGAUGUGGGAGCUACCCAGUAUGCUCUUGGAGGCCGGGGUCUCUGAAAACAAACAUAAAAGCUUGUUAUGUAGCAUGAUGCAAAAAUUGCUUGGAACUUCACUGGACACAGACUCACUUCAAUUUGUGGGAGAGGUGGUCCAUAUUUUCUCCCACAUCCAUCAAACCUACAUUGUCUUUUCCGUUUGUGUAUCUGACUGCUCAGAGGCAGAGCAAGAGCAAAAUAUAUCCUGGCUCACUAAAUCUGCUGUGCAGGGGGCAGCUGUAUCAACAGGUGUUAAAAAGAUUAUGAAGCUCUAUGAAUCUUCAAAUAAUGUGGGCAGCAAGGAUAAGAAGAGAAAACUCAGCCCUCAGGUCGGAAAAGAGAAACGAGCCAACAAAACAAAAAAGCUCAAGGACGGUGCUACUAAUGGGCCCAAACAACUCUGCCUGAAUAAGCGGACAGACCCAUGGCUUCUAGUCUACUCUCCUGUACCAAUCAUCUGUAUAUUUCUUUGCUAUCUUGUAAUUUGGAUCAGACCCAAACUUAUGAAAAACAGGAACAAGUGGACCUAAGGGCAGUACUUACCGUGUACAACUUUGCCAUGGUCGGUUUGUCCGUGUACAUGUUCCAUGAGGUCUUUUUCAUCUUGAGGAAGAAGAAUAAUCAGCUCACAUUUCUGCAUGUGUAUCAUCAUGGAACAGUGAUCUUCAACUGGUGGACAGGAGUUAAAUAUGUGGCAGGAGGUCAAC